GCGUCCCCUGCUCCCAGUCUCUCAAAGAUAUUUUUGUCUUGGAUUUCAUUUCUGCUUCACCCGCCGGCAACAAUUAUCAGAUGUACCAAUUUUAUGAUGAUUGACCAUUAUAUGCAAGGAAAAGAACUGAAACUAGUGAAACAUGCACUGAAAAGAACAGACUGGAACCUAAGAUGACCCUGGGAUAUAAAAUACCCUGCGAGAGGAAUUAAAGUGGGCAGAAACAACAGGAAAGAGGAAUACGGGACUUGAAAGAAAGCAAGAAGUCUGACCAUCAUAAAUUUCAGCAGCAUCACAAGCCCACUCCUCAAGAUAACAGAACCCAUCAGCCAAUAAUAAUAACUAACUUGAAACCCUUAAUUUAAAUGUGGACACAGCCGAUAAUAACCAACUUGCAAUCAUUAAUUUGAAUAUUUAUUAACCAAUCCCAAUGUGCCAAUAGUCCUAAUAUCCCUAACCCCUUUGUUUAAUCCAAUAAAUAUCCCUCAACUUUUCAGCUCGGGAAGACAGAUCUGAGAAAAAUACUAUCCUCUUGUCUUCUUGAGGCUAGCCUUUGCUAAAUAAACUUUUUCCCUUCUCAAAAAUCUCCAUCUCUACUGAUUGGACCUGUGCUCAUCAGGCAAGGACUCACUUUCAAGCCACAACAAAAUUAAUUUUCCCUGAUGCAAGAAGAGGAGAUUCCUCUACCUCCUCCUAUUUUCUAAAAGCUUUUUCUUCAGAAAACUUGAAAUUGUAAACUCUUUCUCUGCCUCUUUGAGAUGUACAUAAAUCUUUCUAAAAGUUAAAUAAGCCUUUGCCAGCUUUAACAACCCAGAAAUGUCUUUCUCAAGGACCUGAGAGCCAUCUCUCUGAGAUGUAAACAUCAAAGAAGAUAGCAGUCUUAACUCCCCAUCUCCAGGGAAGUUUAAUUUAGGUAACUGGCUUCAAAUUGUAACUAUCUACUUAUCAUAGAGAUAUGAGAAGUUUUAUUAUUUCUUUGGAUAAAGGCAGUUAGCAAACACAAAGGCCACGUUAAUUACCUGCUGGGUUUAAGAUGAACUAUUUGUGACAAAUGGUACUGUCAAGUCCUCUUACUUGAGGACUAGUUACGUAUCUUGAGAACAUAUAUGUAAUGGGUUGUAUCUGCAUGACUAUAUAAAAGGGUGAGUUUCUUUCUUUCUUUGCAAUCUCUAGCAGAUUGCCUGUGAUGCGCAUCACAUUCUGGUUUAAUGCUUAUUCAGUAAUAAAACCGUUUUCUUUCUCUUC